rnacentral:rRNA from 1 species
AGAAGAUGUCAAGGGCGCACGGCGGAUGCCUUGGCACAGGAAGCCGAUGAAGGACGCGGCAAGCCGCGAUAGUCUGCGGGGAGGGGCAAACACCCUUCGAUCCGCAGGUUUCCGAAUGGGGGAACCCGGCCGGGGUCAUGCCCGGCCAUCCCCGCCUGAAUCAAAUAGGGCGGGAGAAGGCAACCCGGGGAACUGAAACAUCUAAGUACCCGGAGGAACAGAAAUCAACCGAGAUUGCGCGAGUAGCGGCGAGCGAAAGCGCACCAGCCCAAACCCAUGCACGUGCAAGCUUGAGGGCGUUGCUGCAUGCGGUGUUGUGGGACCUUCCCCUCCCAGGGCCUCAGACCUGGGACGGAGUUACAAAGCGUCGCGGUAGCGGAACGGCAUGGAAAGGCCGGCCGCAGCGGGUAAGAGCCCCGUACGCGAAACCCCGACGCCUCCGAGGAAGGCACCCGAGUAGUGCCGGGCACGUGAAACCCGGUGCGAAUCAGGGGGGACCACCCUCCAAGGCUGAAUACUCUCCUGUGACCGAUAGCGAACCAGUACCGUGAGGGAAAGGUGAAAAGCACCCCGAGAGGGGAGUGAAACAGUACCUGAAACCGUGCGCCUACAAGCAGUCGGAGCACUCCUGCAGUGUGACGGCGUGCCUUUUGUAGAAUGAGCCAGCGAGUUGCGGUAAGCGGCGAGGUUAAGGUUGGAACCGAGCCGCAGUGAAAGCGAGCCUUUAAGAUGGCGACAGAGUCGCUUGCCGCAGACGCGAAGCCGGGUGAGCUAUCCAUGGGCAGGCUGAAGCGGGGGUAAGACCCCGUGGAGGGCCGAACCCACUUCGGUUGAAAACGGAGGGGAUGACCCGUGGAUAGGGGUGAAAGGCCAAUCAAACCCGGAGAUAUCUCGUUCUCCCCGAAAUAGCUUUAGGGCUAGCCUCGGUCGUUCAGUCGCGGAGGUAGAGCACUGGAUCUUCUAGGGGGCUUCACCGCCUACCGAAAAGAACCAAACUCCGAAUACCGCGACUUAAGAGACCGGGAGUCAGAGCAUGUGGGCUAAGCUGCGUGCUCGAGAGGGAAACAGCCCAGACCGCCCGCUAAGGUCCCCAAGUUCAUGCUGAGUGGCAAAGGAUGUGCGUUUGCCUAGACAACCAGGAUGUUGGCUUAGAAGCAGCCAUGCAUUUAAAGAGUGCGUAACAGCUCACUGGUCAAGUGGACAUGCGCCGACAAUUCACGGGGCUAAGCAUGGCACCGAAGCGGCGGACUGAUCUAUCAGUGGUAGGGGAGCUUCCCAUGGGGGGCGAAGCCGAGGGGCGACCCUCGGUGGACCGCAUGGGAGUGAGAAUGCUGGCAUGAGUAACGAGAGAGGGGCGAGAAACCCCUCCGCCGUAAGCCUAAGGGUUCCUGGGCAAGGCUAAUCCUCCCAGGGUCAGUCGGGAGCUAAGGCGAGGCCGGAAGGCGUAGCCGAUGCACAACGGGUCGACAUUCCCGUACCGCUGGCGAGCGUUUGACCGACGGGGUGACGGAGAAGGGUAGCCGGGCGGGGUUCUGGACGUCCCCGUGAAAGCGCGUAGGGGGGCUCGCAUGGAAAUCAGCGAGCCACAUGCCCCGAGACGCGAGACGAAGCCAUCAGGCGAAGUCGGCGAGCCCAUGCUUCCGAGAAAAACCUCUAGGGAGCUUUGUCGGCGCCCGUACCAAAACCGACACAGGUAGGCGGGUAGAACAUACCGAGGCGAUCGGGAGAACCAUGGUUAAGGAACUCGGCAUACUGGCUCCGUAACUUCGGGAGAAGGAGCGCCCUUCCCGGUGAAGGCCCUCGCGGCCGGAGCGGGGAGGGGCCGCAGCGAAACGGCCCAAGCGACUGUUUAUCAAAAACACAGGACUCUGCGAAGCCGCAAGGCGAAGUAUAGGGUCUGACGCCUGCCCGGUGCCGGAAGGUUACGCGGAUGGGUUAGCGGAAACGCGAAGCUCUGAAGCCAAGCCCCGGUAAACGGCGGCCGUAACUAUAACGGUCCUAAGGUAGCGAAAUUCCUUGUCGGGUAAGUUCCGACCUGCACGAAUGGCGUAACGAUUUGGGCGCUGUCUCAACCAUGGACCCGGUGAAAUUGUAUUAUUCGUGAAGAUGCGAAUUACCUGCGGAAGGACGGAAAGACCCCGUGAACCUUUACUGCAGCUUGACAUUGAUCGUUGGCUCGGCGCGUAGAGGAUAGGCAGGAGGCUGCGAAGCCCGGGCGCC